rnacentral:rRNA from 1 species
AUACGUAGGGAGCGAGCGUUGUCCGGAAUUACUGGGUGUAAAGGGAGCGCAGGCGGAGAUGCAAGCGUGACGUCAAAUUUCGGGGCUCAACCCCGUCUCGCGUCGCGAACUGCGUCCCUUGGUUGCGGGAAGGGGAGGCGGAACUCGUGGUGUAGCGGGGAAAUGCAUAGAUAUCACGAAGAACUCCGAUCGCGAAGGCAGCCUUCCGGCCCGUCAACGACGCUCAUGCUCGAAGGUGCGGGUAUCAAACAGGAUUAGAUACCCUGGUAGUCCGCACAGUAAACGAUGGACACCCGCGGUUUGGCCUAUAUGGCUGAGCCGCCAAGCGAAAGCGUUAAGUGUCCCACCUGGGGAGUACGCCGGCAACGGUGAAACUCAAAGGAAUUGACGGGG